AUUGAACGCUGGCGGCAGGCCUAACACAUGCAAGUCGAGCGGAUGAGAGAAGCUUGCUUCUCGAUUCAGCGGCGGACGGGUGAGUAAUGCCUAGGAAUCUGCCUGGUGGUGGGGGACAACGUUUCGAAAGGAACGCUAAUACCGCAUACGUCCUACGGGAGAAAGCAGGGGACCGUCGGGCCUUGCGCUAUCAGAUGAGCCUAGGUCGGAUUAGCUAGUUGGUGAGGUAAUGGCUCACCAAGGCGACGAUCCGUAACUGGUCUGAGAGGAUGAUCAGUCACACUGGAACUGAGACACGGUCCAGACUCCUACGGGAGGCAGCAGUGGGGAAAAUUGGACAAUGGGCGAAAGCCUGAUCCAGCCAUGCCGCGUGUGUGAAGAAGGUCUUCGGAUUGUAAAGCACUUUAAGUUGGGAGGAAGGGUUGUAGAUUAAUACUCUGCAAUUUUGACGUUACCGACAGAAUAAGCACCGGCUAACUCUGUGCCAGCAGCCGCGGUAAAAC
rnacentral:rRNA from 1 species